rnacentral:lncRNA from 13 species
GAUACUACAAAUCUCACUGAGAUAUAAAAUGCAAGAUACAAUGUAAAGAUCCUUUUAAGUGGAUUAGUUAAAAUGAACUUUUUUUUUUUUUUUGAUACAGGGUCUCACUCUGUCAUCCAGGUUGGAGUGCAGUGGCAUCAUCAAAGCUCCCUGCAGCCUCAACCUCCUGAGCUCAAGCAAUUCUCUUUCCUCAGCCUCCCAGCAAGACUCAGGCGCAUACAGACGCAUUCCACAUGGCAGGAGGAAGCAUCUGCUUUCAGAAAAAAAUUUCCGUACUCCACAUUAAAGAAGCAUAUUAUCUACAUACAUAUGACGGAUUGCAAUUGCAAGGUAAUCAUGUUUCUUGAUGUUAAUUUGUACCUUUUAUAUGACACUGAUUGUGGUUUUGUGCUUUCCUUGAUUCCGUUGGACAAACCUCUUCUCACAAUUAAAAACAAUCCCAGAUAUUUAGACAUUGCAGAUACAUAAUAUGCGGUGCUGUGUCUAUAAAAGUCAUCAAAGGGGAUCAUUAACAGAUUCUAAAAUGAUUACUCUGCUGAAGUGAGCAAUCAGUUAAAAAUGAAUAAUAUGAAACUGUUAUCCUAAAUCUAUAAAAUGAUUAUCACCCAGAGCCUGCAGAAUACAGAUGAUGAGAAAAGCCGACAAGGCCCAAAGCUGUGUUAUAAGAAUCACAGCUUGCAAAGAAGCUGAUUCCAGGAUUAUUUUAGUCUAAACACUAUAUACUAAGAAUAAACAGAAUGAAUUUGAAGGUAUCCA